GAGCAGGGCGAGGGAGGGUAUAGGGAACUUUCUUUCAGGAUAGCAUUUGAAAUGUAUAUUAAAAAAUAUCUAAUAAAAAAGAAUAAAGAAAAGAAAAGACAGUAGAGUUGACAAGUUAGCGGGCGAGCAUAGCAUUACUGACUCGAGCUGAGCCUGCUGAGAUGGACUGAAGAGCACAUGGGAGGAUGUCAAGUACUUAAGCCAAUCUGACUGAACUACAGACUGUAUCAAGAUCGAAGAAGCAGAAGGCAAAAUAUGCUGAGGUCCACAAAGAUCAAGUUCUACAGGCAAAACAAGAAAGAAAGAUGAGAGAAGACUCCCUCCCUUUUCGUUGCCUAUGAACGGAAAGUCUCCCCUUAGUAACCUACUCAUUCUAAUCUUACUCACCACACGGUCAUUGUGCGUGUCUCUGAUGAGCUUUAAUACAAUUUUCUGGUUUACAUUACUCUAGAAACACCCCCACAUCCCAUUAGCUGGCUCUCCGGGAACCCAGAGUCACAUCCUGGCCCUUUUCUUGGAGCAAAACAUACGCCAGCUGAUUAAACUUAACCAGAUAUGACUGUUGGUCCCCCCCCCUUACCCACUGUUUGUUUUCAGAAAUUAAAAACAAUUCUAUGUUUAAACACAGUAUCCUAUUUUGCAAUAACUUAUUUUCAAACAUAGCUUGUGGUGCAUAUUCAGCAUUCAUUCAUGCUCUGCUCAUCUCAGACAGCUGAUCUGGGCCGGCAAUUCCACCAAUGCUCGGCAUGAAAGGCUCCUGGGGCUAGAUGCAGGACAUGAAGUGGAUAAUGGUCCUAGUUCUUUUCUCAAUGAGCAAGACAAAUAUUUUUUAAAAAGUAAAAAAUAAAACGAAUCAAACAUUUUCAAAAGAUCACAGACAAUUUUUUCUAGGUAACCAGAAUGAAAAUUAAUAACAAUAUCAAAUUUUCAAUCUUCCCACCUAUUCUAGUGCUUUCUUUAAAAACUCCCUUCUACAGGAAUUCACACAUCUUUCUAGUUGUCUGUAUUCAACUUUUAUAUUCUAAUGAGCAACUUAAUGAGAUGGCUAAGGUGAAGAUCGACUAUUAGCUACCGUCUUUAAAAUGUUCCCUCACGAUAUCAAAAUAGUAAUUUUAUGUACAUGCUUCUCAUUAGCCAACACUUCCUCUCUUCCAUGACUUCUCCAUUUAUUUCUGUAUUAUUUUCCUCUUGUGUGGAUCAAGUCUAGGUGUGUGAUGUGUGAGUGCUCUCCCACUCAACUCUGUCUUCUCCCUCAUAACUCCAAUUUAAUUAGCUGUGAAUAUAGAAAGAUAGAUACAUUUCAUAAGUCAUAAAACUAUGUUCUUUUAAAAAGCAAUUUUGAGCCUUUUUAGUAACAUUAUCUCUGUCACUCAAUUUUUGAGAAAGAGAUAGAAAAAUGUACAGGGUUAAAAUGUAGGUCUAACCACAUGAAACCAUGGAAUGUCAGCACUGGUCUAAUAUAACAGUAAGCCUUUUGGUUACAGUUUAACUCACUUGUAUUAUUUUCAUGAACCCCAUCUAUCUGUCAGAAAGACAUUAUGGGUUAUAAUGAUAAGUACUGAGUUAAAAACAAUAUUGGCCAAAAAUUUAUUAUUACAUGCUGGGUGUGGUAGUGCACACCUUUAAUCUCAGCACUUGGAAGGCAGAGGCCAAUUGAUCUUUGUGAACAUUGAGGCCAGCCUGGUCUACAUGUAUACAGUGAAUACAGUAAGACCCUGUAACAAAAAGAAAACAUUUAAAAUUUAAUGUUAAGAAUUAAAUCUCUAUUCUGAUCUAUCCAUUGCUAUUUGUCAAAGUGUUGGCUGAUUUGUGUCCUGUCACCCUAGUCAAGGAAUGAGUGUUGGAAGGGCAAAAACGGAAGAGAAAGAUCCCAAGAAGCUAAAAAAGC
rnacentral:lncRNA from 1 species